rnacentral:rRNA from 1 species
UAGGCGACGAUGUGUAGCCGGUCUGAGAGGAUGAAUGGCCACAAUGGAACUGAGACACGGUCCAUACUCCUACGGGAGGCAGCAGUGGGGAAUAUUGCACAAUGGGGGAAACCCUGAUGCAGCAACGCCGCGUGAGUGAAGAAGGUUUUCGGAUUGUAAAGCUCUGUUAGCAGGGAAGAGGAAGGACGGUACCUGCAGAGGAAGCCACGGCUAACUACGUGCCAGCAGCCGCGGUAAUACGUAGGUGGCAAGCGUUGUUCGGAAUAACUGGGCGUAAAGGAUGCGUAGGCGGUUGAGUAAGUUAUGUGUUAAAUAUAUAGGCUUAACCUGUAGAAAGCACAUAAAACUGUUUAACUAGAGUGCAGGAGAGGUAAGUGGAAUUCCUAGUGUAGCGGUGAAAUGCGUAGAGAUUAGGAAGAACACCAGUGGCGAAGGCGACUUACUGGACUGUAACUGACGCUGAGGCAUGAGAGCAUGGGGAGCAAACAGGAUUAGAUACCCUGGUAGUCCAUGCUGUAAACGAUGGGUACUAGGUGUGGGUUGUGAAUAACAAUCCGUGCCGUCGC